UGGUAAGAAUGUAUAAGAAUG
ensembl:piRNA 21ur-776 ncRNA